rnacentral:rRNA from 1 species
GAGCCAGACUCCUACGGGAGGCAGCAGUGGGGAAUAUUGGGCAAUGGGCGAAAGCCUGACGGAGCAGCGCCGCGUGAUCGAAUGAAGGCCUUCGGGUUGUAAAGAUCUGUUGACAGGGACGAAUAAGCAAUGCGAAUAGUUUUGUGUAUGACGGUACCUGUUUAGAAAGCUCCGGCUAACUACGUGCCAGCAGCCGCGGUAAUACGUAGGGAGCAAGCGUUGUCCGGAAUUACUGGGCGUAAAGGGCGCGUAGGUGGGCGCUUAAGUCAGGUGUGAAAACUCCGGGCUCAACCUGGAGACUGCACUUGAAACUGGGUGUCUUGAGGGCAGGAGAGGAAAGUGGAAUUCCUAGGGUAGCGGUGAAAUGCGUAGAUAUUAGGAGGAACACCAGUGGCGAAGGCGGAUUGCUGGACAGUAACUGACGCUGAGGCGCGAAAGCGUGGGGAGCAAACAGGAUUAGAUACCCGGGUAGC